CUACGGGAUGCUGCAGUGAGGAAUAUUGCACAAUGGGGGAAACCCUGAUGCAGCAACGCCGCGUGGAGGAUGACGCAUUUCGGUGUGUAAACUCCUUUUAUCAGAGAAGAAAAUGACGGUAUCUGAUGAAUAAGCUCCGGCUAACUCCGUGCCAGCAGCCGCGGUAAUACGGAGGGAGCAAGCGUUAUUCGGAAUCACUGGGCGUAAAGGACGCGUAGGCGGGUUUUUAAGUCAGGUGUGAAAUCCUAUGGCUCAACCAUAGAACUGCACUUGAAACUGGGGACCUAGAGUAUGGAAGGGGCAGGUGGAAUUAGUGGUGUAGGGGUAAAAUCCGUAGAUAUCACUAGGAAUACCGAAAGCGGAGGCGACCUGCUGGGACAUUACUGACGCUGAGGCGUGAAAGCGUGGGGAGCAAACAGGAUUAGAUACCCGUGUAGUC
rnacentral:rRNA from 1 species